CCGCGCGCGAGCAGGCGCAGCUUCGGGAGGCGCGGUUAGCGCGCGAUCGCGCCGGGCCGGCCCGUGCGGGACGGGCGCGGACGCCAGCUCGCGGCGGCGCGGUGGGGACCCGACGGCGAGCACAGGUCCUGCCUGGUGAGGUAUAGCCCCAAAGUAAGAUUGGCUUCAAGUCCUCCAAGACACCUGCUUCCACUGCUGGAUGCACCAGACCUGGUUUUGAAGGAAGUACAGUGGCCACAGGAUUACAGAUUUCAGCUGUGUGCAAAUGUGUUCACACAGGUCGAACGGCGGCGGGGUAUGUCUGGAGUGACUCUCAGGAGCCAGAUUUCUGCUGCCUGGUCUCACAGUGUCAGGGAAACCAGAGGAGGCUCCUGCCUCUGCUAGGCCCUAGAAAGACAUGCAGGCUGAGUGUCAGGAACUCCUCCGACCCAGCUUUGCUGAACUCUAGGCCCAGGGUUUGCAGGAUCCACAGCCACCAGCCCCUGGCCACCUCAGUUCCGGCUCCUCACCACCCCAGCCCUGUCAGCAGGCAAUCUCCUACUCUCUUCCUUUCAAGCUCCCACACUGUGAAAAGUCCAGUUAGCCAGACUUCCCCCCCACAGAGAGAGCCUGGUUGGGUCACUUCCCUUGUUCUGGAGCUUUCUCUACCCCCAGCUCCCUGGUGGUAGUCCCGCUUUCGGAGUAGGACUUUACACCCAGCAGAAGAACCCCGGAAGGUUUCUAUCAGUUAUAUGACACAUACACUGUGCACCUUCUCCGUAAUUUCUGUGGAGGAUUGAGUCCUUAGUCUAGUUACCUGCAGUAUUUAUAAACCAAAUAAAAUUUCCUUCCAAGUUCCCAACUGAGUCAGGUCCUGUGGCAAAGCUCUGUCUCUAGCCUGGAGACAACUGGACCACCUGACUGCCGGCUGGAGUGUGGUGUGGCCACCGCCUCUUUUGUUAACAGGACAGUUGAUCCAUUAAAUUAAAAAUCAGUCAAUAGAUCCAUUUUUUCCUAACGUGUGUGAAUACACAUUCCACCCUAAUUCUCAGACAUCAAUGCCAGCGGAGGUAGGGAACUACCAAGGGACGUUUCCACAAGUGGCCCCAAUAGGAAACUACCGGAAUAACCUCAUCACCAGAAUCCAGGAUAGCCAGAGGAACCUGGCUAGGGGCCAUCACUAAACCCCCAGUUCCCCCAACUCACUUUCUAGCAUGCCCCACUUGGGCAGACGCUGAAAUGCGGGGAUGCAGACAGAGCUGUGGGUCAGCCCCAGUGGCACUGGGGAUCCGGCAUGAGGCCCCUUGCGGCUUCUCUCUGCGCGCUGAACGCGCAGACACAAUUGGGGGGGACGGGGUAGUCUUCUUCCCACCGGGUUUUUAAGUAGCAGGAUUUUCAGAUGCAAACAAACAAACAAAAAGCCUCCUGAGGUGGGCGGUAAAAAAAAAAAAAAAAAAUCAAAGCCUCUACAUCCGAGCCAGAAACAAAAGCUCUUUGGAAGUGCCGCGGCGGGCGGGCGGAGUGCAUCUCGGAUCCCGAGGAGGAGCCGCCCGGACCCGCAUCCGGAGAAGGAGCCGGCGGGUGUCCCCACCUGCUCGCCGGCCGCUCAGUCCUGUCCCCGAGAGGAGGAAGGCGGCCAGAGGCACCACAACCACAAAUUUAUGGCCUGGGUGACGUGCUUUCCUCUCCCACAAUGGGGCCUGGUGACAUUAAACAGAAAAUUGAUGAGAGGGAAGCGAAAUCUAAUCUUUUCCACGUCGGCUCUUCGCGCUUU
ensembl:lncRNA